GACGAACGCUGGCGGCGUGCCUAAUACAUGCAAGUAGAACGCUGAAGGAAGGAGCUUGCUCUUUCUGGAUGAGUUGCGAACGGGUGAGUAACGCGUAGGUAACCUGCCUGGUAGCGGGGGAUAACUAUUGGAAACGAUAGCUAAUACCGCAUAAAAUUGAUUAUUGCAUGAUAGUCAAUUAAAAGGUGCAACUGCACCACUACCAGAUGGACCUGCGUUGUAUUAGCUAGUUGGUGGGGUAACGGCUCACCAAGGCGACGAUACAUAGCCGACCUGAGAGGGUGAUCGGCCACACUGGGACUGAGACACGGCCCAGACUCCUACGGGAGGCAGCAGUAGGGAAUCUUCGGCAAUGGACGGAAGUCUGACCGAGUAACGCCGCGUGAGUGAAGAAGGUUUUCGGAUCGUAAAGCUCUGUUGUAAGAGAAGAACGAGUGUGAGAGUGGAAAGUUCACACUGUGACGGUAUCUUACCAGAAAGGGACGGCUAACUACGUG
rnacentral:rRNA from 1 species